GGGAGGAAGGUGGAGAUGGGGUGAUUAGUAUGAGAAGUAAAUCUAUGAGUUUCUUUUUGUUGCAAAAAGUAGAUUAAACAACCUAUAAUUUGUUAACGUACAACAUCUUGGAACAGGAUACGCUGCAAGAUACAUAGCAGCUUGUGCCGCUUUUGUCUGCGACCCAGUCCAUUCAAAAAUAAAAUAAAAUGGAUAUGAUAAAUGUCACACAUGUGGCACGAACACAUGACGACUUUGAACUUUUUCGUGACAAGUUUACUGACAUGAUUUGACAACUUCUUUUCGGAUGACAAGUUUCAGUUUUUUUGGCUUUAUUUUUUCUUUUCGAAUACAACUUUAGUUUUAGAAAAUAUCAGGACCGGAGUGCUAAAAACACACAUGUAACCCUUAUCUACUACCACUAUAAAAGAAAAAGAGGGGUAGAUCCAAACAAUCCCACCCAUCCAUCAUCAAGAUCUAAUGGCCCUUAAUCAUUUUGUGUUUAACUCUACCAAGCACGCAUUAAGCCACUACAAUCAAUCUAUCGCUAAUCUGCCCCGCACUAACAAAACCGGUCGCCCGCACGACCUCCACCUUCUCCUCCCGCACGACCUCCUCCUCCCGCGCCGUUCGCCUCCCACAGCCUCGCGCCGAGCCACGGGAAGCCGCGCCCCUCACCGCCGCCUCGCGCCGCCGGAGCCACGGGAAGCCCCGCAGGUCGCCAGCCCGCCCCCGCCGCGGGUCGCCGCCUCCCCAGCCACGGGAGCACGCCCCCGCCGCGGGAGCUGUCCCGCCGCGGGUCGUCGCCUCCCCAGCCACCGGAGCCGCCCCGCCGCGCCCGUGGAACUGCAGAACUUCUUCCCCGUCUUCCACUUGGGCUCUAACUACGGCCUCCGCUUUGUGCACUCGGACGCAAUCGCAGCCCCACCAUUGCUAGCCUCGCCUCCCACCAGUGUUAUCCCUCGGCGUCAUUCUCAACAAGCACCAGGACAUGGCUUUUUUUCUGCCAAAGCAUACAGAAGGAGGAGAGAGCAGCAGCGAGAGAGGAGAAGUUAAGAACAAGACACAUGCUUUUGAUGAUUAACUCCUAUUUCUGAACCAAUAUGCUUUUGAUGAUUGAAUUAGAUUAAAAAGGUAUACAUUUCUUCAGAUUAACAGAUUCAAAUAGUAUGAUUUCGGAAUGCAAAUAAUUCUUCCAUAUGUUUGACUACAAUGUGUUGUCGUGCAAAUAUGCAGAAGGAUGACCUUGGUUUUGGGGACUUGGUUUUGUGAAUCGGUGUGUUAUAGUAUUUGUACAAUGCGGCAAUAUGGAUAGACUUGUCGCUGCUUUUACUGGAUUGAUAUAUCAUAUUGUAUGUAUAAUUAUUCAAUACAUAUAUACUUGCAACAACUUCUAAUCGUAAUUUCUUCUCCACCUACAAAGAUAUAUAGAAUCAUCUUACAUAUUUUCAUGUUGAUACCUAAUUUUCAUGUCCAUACUGUUGGGGCGAGCUAAAACUACAAGGCCUCACAGUGCAUAGGGGCAUACAAUAAAGUUUUCAGGUUGACCUUUCCAACAAGUAUUAACAUAAUCAGUGGCAGGGCGCCCACGCUCAUCCGUGAUUUGCAUUCAAGUGAGAUAAGAAUCGGGAGAGGAAGGAAAGAGAGGAGGAAGCAUAAUCUUGGGAGUAAGGAAGAUGCUGACAGCUUCUGCAUCCACAAAGUCCAUGUUCAGAAAAGGCAAAAACUAAUCCUUGAGCAAGCUUACUCCUGCAAAUGUUGACCAUCAAACAAUCCUCUUCAUGCCCUGUUGAAAAUAAUUUCUCCACCCAAUGGCAUCUAUCGAGAGCAGGUUGGGCGGCAGCUUGGCAGCCGGAGCAGGCUUCUAUACCUCGGCGUUCUAGGCCGCCGCGGCCAGGAGCUGCGUCGGGCAGGCUGGCGUCGUCGCUGAGGUUGGACACCGGCGGCAGUGUCGAUACAGGGGAGACCGGAAGCGUUGGUGGCAGCGCAAGGUCGUAUCGGAGGUGGAGGCUGCGGGGCGAGCCGUGGUGGGGAGAGGAUGCCGAGGGCGAGCCGUGGUGAGGAGAGGAAGCAGCAGGGAGAAGCGACAUGUGCGAGGCUGUGAGGUGGGCAGAGUGGAUGCUGUGCGGUGAGAGGACUGGAUUUUUUCUGAUAACUAAUGCUUCUUUAUUUUUUUUCUUGAGAAACACAUCUUUAUUAUUUCUAUAAGUGUGGCUACUGUGCGUGCC